rnacentral:lncRNA from 1 species
AUGUGUGUUUAUUGUUUUAAAAUGCAGCAUACUUGGAGAGACAUUGUAACAGAGUAUGUUUAUGUCAUUAUAAGGAUGUUAUGGAAAUUUUGUUUGACUGUAAGACUUUUUGCCUUAUGUAUCUUUCAGAAGGGAAAACCCAUGAAUGAGAUUGGAAACGGGGUCAUUUGUUGUCUCACCCAGACAAGCUGGUGGAAUGAUUUGAUUCUCUUUUUAAAGGGAGAACCUGGUGAAGUGGGAGAAGGUGGACCACCAGGGCUUAAGGGUGAUCCUGGACAGCAAGGAGAAAAGGGUGAUGCUGGAGAUAGUGGACCCAAAGGUGACACCGGAGAAAAGGUAUACUUUGUACUGAAUUCAGUAGUAGUAGUAGUAGUAGUAGUAGUAGUAGUUUGA